rnacentral:rRNA from 1 species
GAUGAACGCUGGCGGCGUGCCUAAUACAUGCGAGUCGAGCGAACAGAUGAGGAGCUUGCUCCUCUGACGUUAGCGGCGGACGGGUGAGUAACACGUGGAUAACCUACCUAUAAGACUGGGAUAACUUCGGGAAACCGGAGCUAAUACCGGAUAAUAUAUUGAACCGCAUGGUUCAAUAGUGAAAGACGGUUUUGCUGUCACUUAUAGAUGGAUCCGCGCCGCAUUAGCUAGUUGGUAAGGUAACGGCUUACCAAGGCAACGAUGCGUAGCCGACCUGAGAGGGUGAUCGGCCACACUGGAACUGAGACACGGUCCAGACUCCUACGGGAGGCAGCAGUAGGGAAUCUUCCGCAAUGGGCGAAAGCCUGACGGAGCAACGCCGCGUGAGUGAUGAAGGGCUUCGGAUCGUAAAACUCUGUUAUUAGGGAAGAACAAAUGUGUAAGUAACGAUGCACGUCUGGACGGUACCUAAGCAGAAAGCCACGGCUAACUACGG